rnacentral:rRNA from 1 species
GAUGAACGCUGGCGGCGUGCCUAAUACAUGCAAGUCGAGCGAACGGACGAGAAGCUUGCUUUUCUGAUGUUAGCGGCGGACGGGUGAGUAACACGUGGAUAACCUACCUAUAAGACUGGGAUAACUUCGGGAAACCGGAGCUAAUACCGGAUAAUAUUUUGAACCGCAUGGUUCAAAAGUGAAAGACGGUCUUGCUGUCACUUAUAGAUGGAUCCGCGCUGCAUUAGCUAGUUGGUAAGGUAACGGCUUACCAAGGCAACGAUGCAUAGCCGACCUGAGAGGGUGAUCGGCCACACUGGAACUGAGACACGGUCCAGACUCCUACGGGAGGCAGCAGUAGGGAAUCUUCCGCAAUGGGCGAAAGCCUGACGGAGCAACGCCGCGUGAGUGAUGAAGGUCUUCGGAUCGUAAAACUCUGUUAUCAGGGAAGAACAUAUGUGUAAGUAACUGUGCACAUCUUGACGGUACCUAAUCAGAAAGCCACGGCUAACUACGUG